AGAGUUUGAUCAUGGCUCAGGACGAACGCUGGCGGCGUGCCUAAUACAUGCAAGUCGAGCGGACGAAUCGAAAGCUUGCUUUUGAUUCGUUAGCGGCGGACGGGUGAGUAACACGUGGGCAACCUGCCCUGUAGACGGGGAUAACACCGAGAAAUCGGUGCUAAUACCGGAUAACACGAAAUGUCGCAUGACGUUUCGUUGAAAGACGGCGCAAGCUGUCGCUACAGGAUGGGCCCGCGGCGCAUUAGCUAGUUGGUGAGGUAACGGCUCACCAAGGCGACGAUGCGUAGCCGACCUGAGAGGGUGAUCGGCCACACUGGGACUGAGACACGGCCCAGACUCCUACGGGAGGCAGCAGUAGGGAAUCUUCCGCAAUAGACGAAAGUCUGACGGAGCAACGCCGCGUGAGCGAAGAAGGCCUUCGGGUCGUAAAGCUCUGUUGUUAGGGAAGAACAAGUAACGCAGUAACUGGCGUUACCGUGACGGUACCUAACGAGAAAGCCACGGCUAACUACGUGCCAGCAGCCGCGGUAAUACGUAGGUGGCAAGCGUUGUCCGGAAUUAUUGGGCGUAAAGCGCGCGCAGGCGGUUCCUUAAGUCUGAUGUGAAAGCCCACGGCUCAACCGUGGAGGGUCAUUGGAAACUGGGGGACUUGAGUGCGGAAGAGGAGAGCGGAAUUCCACGUGUAGCGGUGAAAUGCGUAGAGAUGUGGAGGAACACCAGUGGCGAAGGCGGCUCUCUGGUCUGUAACUGACGCUGAGGCGCGAAAGCGUGGGGAGCAAACAGGAUUAGAUACCCUG
rnacentral:rRNA from 1 species